ACAUUUACGUACUUGUCUUCGAUCUCAAAUUGUACCUAACAAGGGUGCUCUGCACGGAGCUAAUGCGGUAUUUUUCAUU
rnacentral:tRNA from 1 species